rnacentral:rRNA from 1 species
UACAGAGGCCCCAAGCGUUACCCGGAAUCACUGGGCGUAAAGGGUGUGUAGGCGGCUUUGUUAGUCCUUCGUGAAAGCCCACUGGCCCAACCAGAGGAGCGCGGUGGAAACGGCAAGGCUUAGAGGAUGCGAGAGGUAAAGGGAACUCAUGGUGUAGGGGUGAAAUCCGUUGAUAUCAUGGGGAACACCAAAUGCGAAGGCACUUUACUGGCGCACUCCUGACGCUGAGACACGAAAGCGUGGGUAGCGAACGGG